AUGUGACAAGCAUAUAGUCUGUCAUAAAACGGUUUGUACUGUGCGUACUAUAGCUGCAUAUAUAACUUUCGACUCAAAAAAUUAGUUGCUGAUUAUUGAUGCAGCAGCAAUAUGCAUGUGCAAAUUACAGUACCGGCCUGCCGGUUAUCAUCAACGUGCAUUCGUUACAGCUAACAAACUAUUUACCUACAAUAGAAGAUACUAUAAUAUUAGCAUAUAUACAUAAAAAAAAGCUUUCACUGAAUAUGUGACAAGCUUUCACUCUAAAACUUAAAAAUGGUUUGUACUCUGCGUAUGACACAAUGUAAUGAUGAUGUGGAGUGUUACAACAUUUCACAUGACAAAACUGGUGCUGAAAAAAAGGUUAUCGUUCACAAGGAGUUGCCACUUGCGGUCGAGGGUAGAAAAGGGAGUGGGCAAAAGGCCUUGGCACUUCUGGAAUUUGUGCGAACAAGACCCCUGGUGACCAAAGUUUGGCUUUGGUGAUCUCGAGUACGAAACAAGAGCUCUAGGUUGGGUCUAUACUGAUGUAGAAACCGAGGCUGACCCAGAUUCAAAUAAGAAACAGAGGAUUGUUCCCUCCUGAUCAGCGGAUCCGGUGGUGACUCCGGAGCAGUCCGGGCAGACGCAAUGAGUAUCAUGUCAUGGAACUUUUGGUAUCGGACGCGACAAUGGGAGAGCUUCGCUGGUUAGUGAAGACGUACAGAUAGACCCUAUCUCCUCUUCCUCUCAGAGACAACGAUGAGGAAUGAGAAAACUCGGAGGCUAGUGUGGUCCUUGGGCUACACGAGCUCCUUUGCAGUAAGUUGUGAUGGCUGCAGUGGUGGUCUUGUUCUAAUCUGGUCAGCGGCAUAUGAUGUCUCGAUGCGUGGCUACAAUCCACAUUGUAUCGAUGUUGUAGUUUUAGUGGAAGGGUCAGAUCCAUGGCGCGUGACCUUUGUUUAUGAACCAAGAAGUGUGUUCCGGCAUGUUUUCUAGUAUCCUUUUACGUGUCCACAGUCAGUGGAGGGUGCUUUGGUUGUGUUGUGGGGACUUUAAUGAGGUCCUAUGUCUUGAUGAACACAUGGGAGCCCAAGCUAGGGUGGAAACAUAGAUGGAACAAUUUAGAAACUGUAUAGAUGAGUGUGGUUUAAUCUACCUUAAUUUUA